UUCAUUCUCACGGGCUGUAAGCUUUCUCUAUUCCUCUCCCUCCCUCCCUCCCUCCCUCUCUCCAUCUCAUGCUAAUAGUAGUCUGGACAGGAGGAGAUGCUUUCUCCAUGCGGUGAAGAAAGAAUCGAAUGCUAACAACAAUCUGCAGAAGCUUAACUAGCAACUCCAAUCCCUCUCUCAGAAUCCUUAAUUAUUCCUUAUUCAUAAAUUGUGGAGGCAGUACAAUGAUUGUUGGGAAGAAAGAAUAUGAAGGUGACUCAUCAGAAAUGAGAUCGUCAGACAUUCUCUUCUACUGACAGAUGGGCUUAUAGUAGCACAGGGGAAGAGCUCUACUAUGUUGUUAUCUGGUCUUCAGGGUCUUGCAAGGGAAGCAGCUGCUGCUGGUCUUUCUCUUUCUGAUGUUACUGCAGAAGCAAAGUAUGCAUCUGAAAUGGUGGGAAUGAUGGGUGUCGCCCUCUCUGUUUGUACACUUCUAGGCCAGGUCGCAUCAGAUCGUUUAGGCUCAAGAAAAAUGGAGGUAGGUCUUGGAAUCGUAAGUUGUUAAAUAAUCUCAUUUUCUUGCUAUCUUAAUUACAGUUUAAUCCAUUUCAGGUACCUUUAAUGAUCAAGCAACCUGAAUGAAGAUCUUCCAAUGAUUAUCGAUCUUUAUAUGUAUCUCAACCACUAGAAUAUAAUUUCUUGGGACCCUGCGAUGGCUACUUGAGAAUAGGACUUCAGAAUUUAUGCAUCAACAUGCACCACUAUGGCUUUCAUAAAUUGCAUGGGGAGCCUGGGGCUGCUGUUGCUGACAUCCAACCUGUGGAUGUAGUGGUAUCUCAUGUUCUAAAGCAGAUUUUAUCAAUGGUCUAUUUCACUUGA